CCUACGGUGGGCAGCAGUGGGGAAUAUUGGGCAAUGGGCGCAAGCCUGACCCAGCGACGCCGCGUGAGGGAAGAAGGCUUUCGGGUUGUAAACUUCUUUUAGCAGGGACGAAACAAGUAAGGUUACUGCAGAAGUAACCAACGCCUAACUAGGUGCCAGCACCCGCGGAAUUACGUAGGUGGCAAGCGUUUUCCGGAUUUACUGGGUGUAAAGGGUGUGUGGGCGGGAGUGCAGGUCAGAUGUGAAAACUAUGGCCUCAACCCAUACCCUGCAUUUGAAACUGUAGUUCUUGAGUGUUGGAGAGGCAAACGGAAUUCCCGGUGUAGCGGUGAAAUGCGUAGAUAUCAGGAGGAACACCAGUGGCGAAGGCGGUUUGCUGGACCGUAACUGACGCUGAGGCGCGAAAGCGUGGGGAGCAAACAGGAUUAGAUACCCGUGUAGUC
rnacentral:rRNA from 1 species